ensembl:lncRNA
CACUGAUUAAUCCUGCCCAUGCUUUCUACUGCCUCCAGCCUCUGGAACUCAAACCACCUGGAAAUGGUCCUUCUGGAAUAGUGGAUGGGAUCCAGGGAGCUCCAUUCAUCUGUUCAACAAAUGGGCUCUUCCAAACCCCGGGAUUGAACUCGAGUCUCCUGCACUGGCAGGUGGGUUCUUUACCACCGAGCCGUCUGUGAAGCCCCUAUGAUGCACCUAAAGCACAGGUUAAGCGAACGUGAUCUGUCUUUUAACAUGUGAAAUUCUCAGGACAUGUGUACAUGAGGAG